rnacentral:rRNA from 1 species
UCUACCUACUACUCCACGUCCUCUGAGGUUUACAGCCACGAGAAGGGUGCUUCCGGGGGUUCCAGUACUUAACCUGAGGCGGAUACAGACGCAACUACAACUUUCCGUAAAGUCUCCACGGCCGUUCUCCACGGUUCUGACUGUUUCCCAAGUUACUCCAUUCACAGAAGUCUCUUCUUUAAGAGGCUGAACGACCCUAACGAACAGUACUUCUCCUCCCUUUUAGCGUCUGUCUCGAUGACCUCUUCGAGUUUUGUACAUUGUUCUAAUACGAUCAACUUGACACGGCGAGUAAACUACAGGGACCAAGUUGUUCGUGAUUCUUCCUACUUAAUCACUGUUAUCACUACCUCAAGAACUACCUUGUGACAAGACCAUAAUAAAUGUGUCUAGGACUAUUCCGAGUUGAAUCGCCAGUCUUUAAAUUCUUUUCUUUCGCGUUCUUCUUACUUCGUUUAGAUAGACCACCACUUGGAAGGUUCUUUUCCUUUGGUCUACCUUGAGAUGACCUUUAAGCAUCAGUUCUCCUUCGUCUACCCUCUUUUCGACAUCUUCUAUCUUGUUUGGUAAGGCUCAAGAAGAGCUCCCUAUUGUUCUGUCCUGUUAAACGCUUCCUUGUUCGAUUUGGACCCGGAAAACUUCCCCAUUUACUGAGGCGCAACCCCUUUAAUCGACAUCAAGGCGAGGGUCCUCAUGGCAAAGGAUGUCUACUUGUUUGCGAUUAGUGUUGUGGUAGACGUUUCAAUCAAUCGUUACAACUCUUACUACUGUGCCUAUACCACCGAAGUUGCUUCUUUUUGUAAAGAGAAUGGUUCUUUUUCCGUUAGGUUUUGUGUCUAAGGUUCCUCUUUAGACCACCAUUUUAAUACAGAUCUCCUCUACGCUUCGGUACCUUCGUCCGUGGCUUUGGUUCGUUCCUACUCGACUCUGUUCGACAGAAGACAUAUAACCCACGACGUUUAAAACGGUGCUACUGAAAACCUCUCCAACAUUUUCGUCAACUGUUCAUGAAACCGUUCCUAAACAAGUUCUCUUUCGGCGACCAUUCCCGGAACUAUCUCCUCCUCGACAAAUCCGAUCGGUUCCGCCGACUCUCCUUCCUUCACCUUCUCCUCCUUCGUUACCUUCGUUUUUAUUUUCGGCUUGUUCGACGGUUCCUGUCGUCGCGUUCCCUACCUUCUCAACUUAGUCUCUAUCUGUUCCUUGUACUUCAACUUCGACUAGGUCUGCCAUUUAGAUUCCUACGACUUUUCUAACCAUUGUCGUUAUCAUCACUUCUUCCACCAUUUUCACCCUAAACACACUUCUGACCACUCUUCCCUUUGUCGCGGCGACGGCGGCGACUCUUAAAUGUUCUACCUUUCCGUCUUCAACUGCUGUGCUCCUUCUUUCCUUUGUCACUACCAAAACCGUUCCUAACGCUCCGACUUUUCCAACACGUCUUGCGUUUACCGCUACCACCGUAUCUUUAUAACCCUCUACCAUUUCGACUUUGACGCUUAUUAACGUCGCCAUUGUGGUAUCCUCCAAGACCUCUUUUUCUACCGCCUAGACUUCUUCCGUCCCGACUCUUACUACGUCUUUUACGACCACUGACACUUGGACUUCUUAGACUUUGAUUACUUGGUCUUCGUCUUCGUCUUCGUCUUCUACAGUUUAGAUUCCUUCGGGCACCGUUAAUCUAGCGGGAUAGGGGAUACCACGAUUGAUUUACACCGUUUUGUUUUAUCUACGGUCCGUUAUACUAAUGACUUCGCUCAGCGCCUACUACUACCAGCUCGCCUUCUAAGGCUUCCGUGGUUUUGACUAUCGACGAAAUGAGGUUACCCGCCCGCCCGCCUGCCUGCCGGACCUAACCAGACUGUACCGUCACUAGCUGCCAACACCUUACACUGUCCACCGUGUACGAAUAGCUGUCUGGUUGCCGACCCAACCGAGGUGCAAGUGUCGAGGUAGGGAAGAAUAGGCGCGUUAGGUUGCCUGGCCUGGGUCGGUUCGGUAAGGGGUGGUGGGAGAGGGAGGAGAAGAACAGCGUGACGUGUAUUAUCAGAGGUUUCUAACUUAAAAGCAUGUUCACAGGAAGGAAGGUCAAUUGAAGUACGAGGACGAACUAGUCCGAUCUCACCAAACUAACGAAGAACUAAACUCUGUGUCUAGCCCCUCUCCUCGGUACGGCCUCAGCCUGUUGCUGAGGCCGCCCGGCUCGUUGUGGCCGCCCCUCCCCCUCGACAGCAGCGGCGCCCUCGUCCUGGCGAAGGACGGGUAGCGGUUGCACUCGGCGUAGUACUUCUUCCGCGAGGGCCGGUUGCGGUUCUAGUCGUUCCUGCGGUUCCUCUGCCACGUCCUCACGCAGAGGCUCAAGUAGAGGAAGUAGUGGCCGCUCCGGAGGCUGUUCACGGUCGCGCUCUUCGCGUUCUGGUAGUUGCCGCUGCUGGAGGAGACCCGGUACUGGUGGGAGCCGAAGCUCCUGAUGCAGCUGGGGGAGUUCGUGAUGGAGGUGUUCAAGGCGCUCUAGCUCCCGCUCUCCCGGCGGCGGUGCAGCUGCAGUUGGCGCGGCGUCGUGGACGGGCUGUUAUUACGGUGGCCAAUGCGGCUGAUACCACCGCGGCGACAGGGGCGGGGCCGGGCCCCUCCGUACUACUACUACCCCGUCGGGUACAUGCCGAGUGGCGGCGGCGUCGUUGUGGUCGUCGUCGUCGUGGUUGUAGUCCAACGUUACCCUCCCUCUCGCCCGAAAGGGAUAGUGCCUCCGUCGUCGCCACCGCCGCCCAGCAGAAGAAGCAGCCCCAAGCCUACCUUUCUCCCCACUGUAGAAAAGAAAAGAACAGCAAAACUCGACUGGUUUCACUCACUAAAGUUGUAUACAAGGAGAGAACCUACUUCGGCACUGAACAUCGAAUCCCUUUAGGUAAGUCAUGUUCCUCCUUAUUAACAAGUCGUUUAGUCAAAAGAAGAUAUUUGUCCUCCUUACAUAUUGAUGCUCAGAUGUUUAGUAUGGACCCUUCGAGAGGUACUUAAUGAACAAAUUGUUGUACCGCUCUGUGUUAUGGUUAUAUAACUACAAUUUUCUUGAGUACUAUCCUUGGGGCGCUGGAUGAGGGAGGCAGGGUAUUAUAUUCUCGCAGCAUAUAAUACCCUACCUCCCUCAUGGUUAUCAUGAAACCAUUCGAUGUUUACCUUUUCUCUCCACUUGAGAAACGUAGCUCAAUUCGCCGAGACAAAGCAGGAUCUGUAGAGUUUUCUCGAAACCAGACGGAUACCGGUGACAACUACGGAAUGCAAGAACACAUGACCUAGAGUGUAUGAAAACUAAGGAGAGAUUAGGAGUAUAACUAUACAGAGGACAACAGUGUACACAAAAGUUAAGAAGUCAAGAGGACGUUUAUCUAAAACGAACUAAAUACACAAACAGGGGACGUAGUACAUGAUGAUACAGUUCGG